rnacentral:rRNA from 1 species
CCUACGAGAGGCAGCAGUGAGGAAUAUUGGUCAAUGGACGCAAGUCUGAACCAGCCAUGCCGCGUGCAGGAUGACGGCUCUAUGAGUUGUAAACUGCUUUUGUACGAGGGUAAACCCCGAUACGUGUAUCGGGUUGAAAGUAUCGUACGAAUAAGGAUCGGCUAACUCCUGGCCAGCAGCCGCGGUAAUACGGAGGAUCCGAGCGUUAUCCGGAUUUAUUGGGUUUAAAGGGUGCGUAGGCGGUUUGAUAAGUUAGAGGUGAAAUGUCGGGGCUCAACCCCGAAACUGCCUCUAAUACUGUUGGACUAGAGAAUAGUUGCGGUAGGCGGAAUGUAUGGUGUAGCGGUGAAAUGCUUAGAGAUCAUACAGAACACCGAUUGCGAAGGCAGCUUACCAAACUAUAUCUGACGUUGAGGCACGAAAGCGUGGGUAGCGAACAGGAUUAGAUACCCUUGUAGUC